GGGGAAAGAUGCAGAUGUCCAUUCCAGAGUGCUGAAUCCACAGCAGAAUCCCAGACCUGCUGCGGGGAAGAAAGGUCCCAGGAGUUGGAAGACCCCAGGAAGACACCAAAGAUUAAUAGAUUUUUAAGGCAACAAGGGACAAUGAUGACCAUCUACUUUGACCUCCAGCACAACACAGCCAAUAACUUAUGCAUGAACUAUAGCAUAACUUUUGCUAGUGAAAGACAUCACAGAUUGCUGAUCAAUGGAAACAGAAAACCUUGAUUAAAAAAAAAGGCACCAAGUAUUAUUAAAGCAGUUCUCUGCAGACCAUAAAAAGCAGAAGAUAUUCUCUUAGUGCCUUCCUGCUAUUUCUAUGCAAAGAUGUUCUGGAAUAAAAUGUUAUUAUGUAUAAGCACACUGAGAUGUUCUUAAUAUAUGAAAACAAUGUCAUAAACCUGAAGCUAUUAAUUCCCGAUAGCUAAGGGCUAUAGUUUAUCAUUAGCAUCUAACAAUGAAUGAUGGCUUUUAAAGUCAGUUCCCUUUCUCCCCAGAGAUUGAAUUGGCUAAAUCAUUUAUUAAUGUCAAGGGCUGACAUUUUUCAAUUAACAUAAUGAGUUUUUAGAGG